rnacentral:rRNA from 1 species
AUACGAGGGGUGCAAGCGUUGUUCGGAAUUACUGGGCGUAAAGGGAGCGUAGGCGGAGAUUCAAGCGGAUUGUACAAUCCCGGGGCCCAACCCCGGCUCUGCAGUCCGAACUGGAUCUCUUGGAUAGUUCAGGGGCAGGCGGAACUCCUGGUGUAGCGGGGGAAAGCGGAGAGAACAGGAAGAAGACCGCUGGCGAAGGCAGCAUGCUGGGGACUUAUCGACGCUGAGGCUCGAAAGUGCGGGUAGCAAACAGGAUUAGAUACCCUGGUAGUCCGCACCGUAAACGAUGCAUACUGGGUGUUCGGGGGUUCCCCCGGGUACCGUAGCCAACGCGUUAAGUAUGCCGCCUGGGGAGUACGUACGCAAGUAUGAAACUUAAAGGAAUUGACGGGG